GCUAUCAGCUAUUUGAGAUGACACAGAAGAAAUUAACCAUGACAUAACUAGCAUGUUACAUCAAUCCCACAACCUCUGUUGGCUCACAUUAUUACUAGGUCGGGAAAAGGAACCAUCAAUGAAAUAAAUUUUAUUUUUAGCAGAUAAAGCCAUAGUCAUCUUACGUUUCCAACCUCCAUAACCACUACCUGAGAAAGGAGUGGGAACAAGGCAUGCACCAGGCACAUCAGAAGAAUGUACAAACAAAGGACUGGAAGGAUCGAUAGAACCAGAGUUACCACCAGAACCACCAGCAUUCAUGUUAGCAGCCAUGCUCAAAUGAAUUAAANN
rnacentral:lncRNA from 1 species